GUCAGAAGUUCGAGACUAGCCUGGCCAACAAGGAGCAGUGUGUAUUUCUCUCAUUCAGCCAUGUAUUCACUUAAUGACUACAUAAUGAAUGCCUUCUGUGCCAAGGAAUAUAACUACUCAUUUAUUAACACCAAGUCCUGAAGAUAUGGCAUUCUUUUACUCAAUUUUCAUGAUCAUCACAUACCUUAGUGAAAAAUUAAAAUCAUGAUGUUUCAGUUAAGGAAUCUAAGAUGCUGUGCUUAACAAAAUUGCUGAAGUUACCACAAAUGUAAGUAAAAGACCAGGAUUAAACAAUCCAGAAAAACAGGCUUUCCAGACUGCAGAAAAACUUCUUCUGAAGACUUAAUGAGACACACAUAGUCACUGCCUGAGCUUUCUGCCCCUGAAUAAAGAUAUCUUCUUAUAGGGUCUGAAUUAGACUUCACAAUGGAAUUCAUCAGCAAAUAUUGGUGUCUACAUCUUUAAAAUGUGUCUGGAUUCUAAUCCUCACGAUUUCAACCACAACCUCCAUUGCCAGAGCCACCAUCAUCUCUCACCUCAAUUAUAGCAACAGCUUCUAACUGCUCUGUCAGUUUCUGCUUCUUCCCAAACAUUCCAUUCUCAAAACAGCAACCAAAGUGUUGCAUUAAAAAUAUCAUUGGAUCAGCAGGGCACAGUGACUCACGCCUGUAAUCCCAGCA
rnacentral:lncRNA from 1 species